GAUUCUGGCUCAGGAUGAACGCUAGCUACAGGCUUAACACAUGCAAGUCGAGGGGCAGCAUGAUCAAAGCUUGCUUGAUGAUGGCGACCGGCGCACGGGUGAGUAACGCGUAUCCAACCUUCCCUAUAGUAGUGGAUGGCCCGGCGAAAGUCGGAUUAAUACACUAUGUUGUAUUUAGAGGACAUCUGAAGAAUACCAAAGGUUUACCGCUAUAGGAUGGGGAUGCGUCUGAUUAGAUAGUAGGCGGGGUAACGGCCCACCUAGUCGACGAUCAGUAGGGGUUCUGAGAGGAAGGUCCCCCACAUUGGAACUGAGACACGGUCCAAACUCCUACGGGAGGCAGCAGUGAGGAAUAUUGGUCAAUGGACGGGAGUCUGAACCAGCCAAGUAGCCGUGCAGGAUGACGGCCCUAUGGGUUGUAAACUGCUUUUAUACGGGGAUAAAGUGAGCCACGUGUGGCUUUUUGUAGGUACCGUAUGAAUAAGGACCGGCUAAUUCCGUGCCAGCCGCAGC
rnacentral:rRNA from 1 species